rnacentral:rRNA from 1 species
AUUGAACGCUGGCGGCAUGCCUUACACAUGCAAGUCGAACGGUAGAGUAGCAAUACUCGAGAGUGGCGAACGGGUGAGUAACAUAUCGGAACGUGCCCAAUCGUGGGGGAUAACGUAGAGAAAUUUACGCUAAUACCGCAUACGAUCUAAGGAUGAAAGCGGGGGAUCGCAAGACCUCGCGCGAUUGGAGCGGCUGAUAUCAGAUUAGGUUGUUGGUGAGGUAAAAGCUCACCAAGCCGACGAUCUGUAGCUGGUUUGAGAGAACGACCAGCCACACUGGGACUGAGACACGGCCCAGACUCCUACGGGAGGCAGCAGUGGGGAAUUUUGGACAAUGGGCGAAAGCCUGAUCCAGCAAUGCCGCGUGCAGGAAGAAGG